rnacentral:misc_RNA from 1 species
AACGGUCUAUACCUGCGGUACCUGCGGAGGGAUCAUUACCGAGUUUACAACUCCCAAACCCAAUGUGAACCAUACCAAACUGUUGCCUCGGCGGGGUCACGCCCCGGGUGCGUCGCAGCCCCGGAACCAGGCGCCCGCCGGAGGGACCAACCAAACUCUUUCUGUAGUCCCCUCGCGGACGUUAUUUCUUACAGCUCUGAGCAAAAAUUCAAAAUGAAUCAAAACUUUUAACAAUGGAUC